rnacentral:rRNA from 1 species
AGCAGCCGCGGUAAUUCCAGCUCCAAUAGCGUAUAUUAAAGUUGUUGCAGUUAAAAAGCUCGUAGUUGAAUUUCGGGAUCAGUACGCUGGUCGUGCCUUCGGUAUGUACUGGUGUUACUGGUUCCUACCUUCUGACGAACCGUCAUGUCAUUAAUUUGGUGUGGCGGGAAAUCAGGACUGUUACUUUGAAAAAAUUAGAGUGUUUAAAGCAGGCUCGCGCUUGAAUACAUUAGCAUGGAAUAAUGAAAUAGGACGUUCGAUCCUAUUUUGUUGGUUUCUAGGAUUGACGUAAUGAUUAAUAGGGACAGUUGGGGGCAUUAGUAUUCAAUUGUCAGAGGUGAAAUUCUUGGAUUUAUUGAAGACUAACUACUGCGAAAGCAUUUGCCAAGGAUGUUUUCAUUAAUCAAGAACGAAAGUUAGGGGAUCGAAGACGAUCAGAUACCGUCGUAGUCUUAACCAUAAACUAUGCCGACUAGGGAUCGGAUGAUGUUAAUUUUUUAAUGACUCAUUCGGCGCCUUA